GGGUGAGUAAUGUCUGGGAAACUGCCUGAUGGAGGGGGAUAACUACUGGAAACGGUGGCUAAUACCGCAUAACGUCGCAAGACCAAAGAGGGGGACCUUCGGGCCUCUUGCCAUCAGAUGUGCCCAGAUGGGAUUAGCUAGUUGGUGAGGUAACGGCUCACCAAGGCGACGAUCCCUAGCUGGUCUGAGAGGAUGACCAGCCACACUGGAACUGAGACACGGUCCAGACUCCUACGGGAGGCAGCAGUGGGGAAUAUUGCACAAUGGGCGCAAGCCUGAUGCAGCCAUGCCGCGUGUAUGAAGAAGGCCUUCGGGUUGUAAAGUACUUUCAGCGGGGAGGAAGGUGUUGUGGUUAAUAACCGCAGCAAUUGACGUUACCCGCAGAAGAAGCACCGGCUAACUCCGUGCCAGCAGCCGCGGUAAUACGGAGGGUGCAAGCGUUAAUCGGAAUUACUGGGCGUAAAGCGCACGCAGGCGGUCUGUCAAGUCGGAUGUGAAAUCCCCGGGCUCAACCUGGGAACUGCAUUCGAAACUGGCAGGCUUGAGUCUUGUAGAGGGGGGUAGAAUUCCAGGUGUAGCGGUGAAAUGCGUAGAGAUCUGGAGGAAUACCGGUGGCGAAGGCGGCCCCCUGGACAAAGACUGACGCUCAGGUGCGAAAGCGUGGGGAGCAAACAGGAUUAGAUACCCUGGUAGUCCACGCCGUAAACGAUGUCUACUUGGAGGUUGUGCCCUUGAGGCGUGGCUUCCGGAGCUAACGCGUUAAGUAGACCGCCUGGGGAGUACGGCCGCAAGGUUAAAACUCAAAUGAAUUGACGGGGGCCCGCACAAGCGGUGGAGCAUGUGGUUUAAUUCGAUGCAACGCGAAGAACCUUACCUGGUCUUGACAUCCACAGAAGAAUCCAGAGAUGGAUUUGUGCCUUCGGGAACUGUGAGACAGGUGCUGCAUGGCUGUCGUCAGCUCGUGUUGUGAAAUGUUGGGUUAAGUCCCGCAACGAGCGCAACCCUUAUCCUUUGUUGCCAGCGGUCCGGCCGGGAACUCAAAGGAGACUGCCAGUGAUAAACUGGAGGAAGGUGGGGAUGACGUCAAGUCAUCAUGGCCCUUACGACCAGGGCUACACACGUGCUACAAUGGCGCAUACAAAGAGAAGCGACCUCGCGAGAGCAAGCGGACCUCAUAAAGUGCGUCGUAGUCCGGAUUGGAGUCUGCAACUCGACUCCAUGAAGUCGGAAUCGCUAGUAAUCGUGGAUCAGAAUGCCACGGUGAAUACGUUCCCGGGCCUUGUACACACCGCCCGUCACACCAUGGGAGUGGGUUGCAAAAGAAGUAGGUAGCUUAACCUUCGGGAGGGCGCUUACCACUUUGUGAUUCAUGACUGGGGUGAAGUCGUAACAAGGUAACCGUAGGGGAACCUGCGGUUGGAUCACCUCCUUACCUUAAAGAA
rnacentral:rRNA from 1 species